GUAGAAAAGUCAUCAUUUAUACAUACCCCAGUCUUAUGAAUGUUAACAGUUUUAAUAAACAUAAUAAAACUUUUAACAACGGAUCUCUUGGUUCUCGCAUCGAUGAAGAACGCAGCGAAAUGCGAUAAGUAAUGUGAAUUGCAGAAUUCAGUGAAUCAUCGAAUCUUUGAACGCACCUUGCGCUCCUUGGUAUUCCGAGGAGCAUGCCUGUUUGAGUGUCAUGAAACUCUCAACCUUCAGCUUUUUUUAUUAAGGCUGAAGGCUUGGACUUGAGCGCUGCUGGUUCUCACGAACCGGCUCGCUUGAAAUGAAUUAGCAGAUCCUUUUUGUAAUCGGUUCCACUCGACGUGAUAAGUAUUUCGCCGAGGACAUAUGAAAGUAUGGCCGAGAUAAAGAAAGUUCUAGAUCCGCUUCUAAUUCUUAGAUAAAGCUUGCUUUACUAAACCCCAUUUUAUGAUCUGGCCUCAAAUCAGGUAGGACUACCCGCUGAACUUAA
rnacentral:rRNA from 1 species